GACGAACGCUGGCGGCGUGCCUAAUACAUGCAAGUCGAGCGGACGGAUGGGAGCUUGCUCCCAGACCGUCAGCGGCGGACGGGUGAGUAACACGUGGGCAACCUGCCUGUAAGACUGGGAUAACUCCGGGAAACCGGGGCUAAUACCGGAUAACUCUUUCCCUCACAUGAGGGAAAGCUGAAAGAUGGCAUCUCGCUAUCACUUACAGAUGGGCCCGCGGCGCAUUAGCUAGUUGGUGAGGUAACGGCUCACCAAGGCGACGAUGCGUAGCCGACCUGAGAGGGUGAUCGGCCACACUGGGACUGAGACACGGCCCAGACUCCUACGGGAGGCAGCAGUAGGGAAUCUUCCGCAAUGGACGAAAGUCUGACGGAGCAACGCCGCGUGAGUGAUGAAGGUUUUCGGAUCGUAAAACUCUGUUGUCAGGGAAGAACAAGUACCGGAGUAACUGCCGGUACCUUGACGGUACCUGACCAGAAAGCCACGGCUAACUACGCG
rnacentral:rRNA from 1 species